CUCAUCUGGAGUUUUGCAGUGAGCCCAGGAUGUGGGUAUUCUUGGGUCACUUCAUCAAAUACUGUUCUACUGGUUCUACAGGAGUGGCAAGACAUGGGCAGCUACACCUGCCCUUAGAUAAUACUUCAACCAGCAUGUGCUCUGUGAAGGUUAGGAAUUGGAAUGACUGCGUGCCAGGUGCCCAUGGUGUUUUCAGAAAGAAUGCUCUAUGAGUUCCUUGUAAGCACACAGAAGUGGAUGAGCCACCAGCAGCUGGACAACGCAAAAGCAAAGUCAGUACAAUUCAUUUUCUGCUUCCAACCUGAAGAGCUUGUUAGCCACUUCCAGCCAUACCUGUCCAACAAAAAAGUACUGCCUUCCUAUAACACAUGUGCAUCUUAAAAAAAAAAAAGCAACAAAA